rnacentral:rRNA from 1 species
AUUGAACGCUGGCGGCAGGCCUAACACAUGCAAGUCGAACGAGUGGCGGACGGGUGAGUAAUGUCUGGGAAACUGCCCGAUGGAGGGGGAUAACUACUGGAAACGGUAGCUAAUACCGCAUACCAUCGGAUGUGCCCAGAUGGGAUUAGCUUGUAGGUGAGGUAACGGCUCACCUAGGCGACGAUCCCUAGCUGGUCUGAGAGGAUGACCAGCGAAACGGGAACUGAGACACGGUGUAGAAUCCGACGGGAGGCAGGAGUGGGGAAUAGUGCACAAUGGGCGCAAGCCGUAUGCAGCCAUGCCGCGUGUAUGAAGAAGGCCUUCGGGUUGUAAAGUACUUUCAGCGGGGAGGCGGUACCCGCAGAAGAAGCACCGGCUAACUCCGGGCCAGCAGCCGCGGUAAUAC